rnacentral:tRNA from 1 species
GGGUGUGUGGCUCAGUGGUAGAGUAUAUGCUUAGCAUGUGUUGGGCCCUGGGUUCAAUACUUAGCACUGCCA